UUUCACUGCCAUUAUCUGGGACAGCAGAACCAGGUUUGGCUCAACAGAUUUCUCUUUCCACCCAUCUAUUGCAGGUGUAGUGGUCUUGCUGCUUAUCCAGGGAGGAUCUGCCUACAAACUGGUUUGCUACUUUACCAACUGGUCCCAGGACCGGCAGGAACCAGGAAAAUUCACCCUUGAGAAUAUUGACCCCUUCCUAUGCUCUCAUCUCAUCUACUCAUUCGCCAGCAUCAAAAACAACAAGGUUAUCAUCAAGGACAAAAGUGAAGUGAUGCUCUACCAGACCAUCAACAGUCUCAAAACCAAGAAUCCCAAACUGAAAAUUCUCUUGUCCAUUGGAGGGUACCUGUUUGGUUCCAAAGGGUAAGACUACAUCUUUAUUUUUUGUUCAUUUUCCCAUGUAAUUUUUGAUCAUCACCAUUUUUCCUCCUCCUAAGAAGAGAUAUUAAACUAGGCUGUAAGAGGUUUUCCCUUGGCCAGGUGGCAAAACUGAUCUGAGUUUUGUCAUAAGCAGAGGAACAGCAUUAGGUUUCCUGGGGUC
rnacentral:sRNA from 1 species